rnacentral:lncRNA from 1 species
GCAACCUACACCACAGCUCAUGGCGACGCCAGAUGCUCAACCCACUGAGCAAGGCCAGGGAUCAAACCCGCAACCUCAUGGUUCCUAGUCGGAUUCGUUAACCACUGCACCACGAUGGGAACUCCAUAUCUUUUGAAGAUAGAGCUUACAGAUUUUCUGAUGGAUUUGGCUGAUGAAUGAAGGAGAAAGUGGUGAAAAUGACUCCAUAUUGUUCCUGCUGUGGCACAGUGGGUUAAGAAUCUGGCUGCAGUGGCUGAAGUCACUAAAGAGGUGUAGGUUCAAUCUCUGGCCCAGCAUUGUGGGUUCUGGCAUUGCCGCCGCAGCAGCUUAGGUCCCAGUUGUGGCAUGGAUUCAAUCCCUUGCAUGGGAACUUCCAUAUGCUAUGGUGCAGCCAUAAAAUUAAAAACAAAAUAAAUAACAAAGAAAGAAAAAAGAAAAGUACUUAUAAAAUCUAUCUGUAUAGAAAAAUAGAAGAAAAUGUGCAAAUCAUAGCCCAAAUAAUUUGGGGUUCAAAUAUCAAAACUAUUGUAAUUAAGUGGUACUUCUUAGGAAAAAAAAAACCUGCAGAAAUACUUUCAAACAAAGGAAACAGAUUAUUAUGAGGUAACUUGUUCAGGCGCAAUUCAGCUCUCCACAGUAAGUGUUGUAUGUUGUAUACAUUUCCAUAGCCUACAAGGACGUUUUGAACACCACCAGGAAUAUAGCCGCUAUUUUCUAAAAUCUGUAAAUCGAGUAUAACCUUUAAAAAUUGUUUACGAAUAAACAAAACAAAACUGUAAAAUAAAUAUGUACUAUACAUAUAUAUGUAUAAAAACCAUUUUUUAUACCCAAGCCAAAAAAUAAAAAUAAAAAAGUCCAGUGUGACCAUCACCUACAAUGAGGAGAGCUGUAGUAGAACAGGUUGGGGGUGAGUGAAUGGGGUACAGCAGUACACCUGAUCAACCAAGCCUCUGUCUUCCUGGGGCUUACAUUCUUGAGUGGGAAAUCAGGGAAUACACACAAAUAUGUGCUUGUUUCAAGAUCCCAGGUUGAUGUGAGGAAGGUGGGAAAGAAGCAGCUCCUCUCUGGCAUCACUUUCUUGGUAAUGCAAGCUUUUGGAGGACUCUGGCAAGACGAUGAACUGAGUGUAUUUUCAUUUUCUCUGCUCCCAAGCUGAUCCAUGCGCCUGUCCUGACGUCAAAGAGUCUGGGCACAGCUGAGAAUGAGAAAAUUCUUCCACUUGCUGAUGACCUAGGGGGAAGAGCUGGAACAAAACAUUUUACACAUAGCUCAGAUAAAACCUGGGGACCCGUAGGAAGCCCUAGAGCAAGGACUGAAAUGUGAAGAGUCCUGGGGAGAACCUAGACCAUAGAGAUCCAAGGAACGCAGUAGAGAAAACAAACAUCGUCCCCAGAUUAGUGUACUUAGUCUUUCCCAUACUAUGGCAUGGAAAAGAAGCUCAUUAGGUGGGCUGAGCUUUCUGACCCUGAGGCUGUGUUCAUUCAGGAAGACCAGGGAUCAGGCCGACUUUGUCCUGGGAUCCCAGUUGGAGACUGGCUACAAGCAUGCUGCUACCUGCUCCAGCCAUGGAGGUGGGGGAUAGUUUACCUUUCUUUGAUGCUACUUAGGACCAGUAGCAAAUUCCAAUAAACACCAGACACACACAAAUACACUUUUAAGGAGGGCCAAUGACCAGAGAAGAGAAAGCUCUGAUCCUCCAUAUCAGGAACAGAGCAAAAUAGAAUUGCUGGAGACAGCCAACAACUUGAACUAGUAAGAACAUUUCAGGAUUUUCACAUGGUAAGAGGCUUGCUUUUGAACAACAACAAAUUAACAGGCAAGUUGAAAAAAAAGGACAGGUGCUGUCAAACUCUGAACUCAUGACCUACAUAGUCAGAUGAAAGAACCACCUGAAAGUACAUAGCAAAACUCAAAGAGAUGGAAGUCAUAAGGGAAAUGAUGAGACGUAUGAAGAAACUAAGAUACAGAUAACAGGAUUUCCACAUAGCAUCAAACAAACAUACAGACAAUAGGCGAUAAUCCCAUACACAACAUAAGGAUGUUUUCUCAAGGUGACAAAAAACCUGAAUCUUUAGAAUAAAAGGGAGGUUGGAUUAAAAAAAAAAUACCUACACAGCCUGAUGAAAUUUAUGAAUUUCAUGGAUAAAGAUGAGAAGAUUCUCCAGAAACAAAAGAGCAAUUUAGCUACCAAGGAAAACACAUCUGUUUGAUAAUUAGACACCUUACGUGAAAGAGUAGAAAAAAGUAGUGGAUGUUGGGAUAGCAUUUGUAUAUACUGAUGAGAAAAGAACUGAUACCUUCAAUCGUACACCGAUAACUUCCAGAUAAGAUGAAGGCAAGAUUUUCACAGCUCUUGAAAUAUUCCGAGGCAUCAUACGACUGAAGAAAUUACUAAAGGAAGGAUUCUGACCAAAUAACAGAGUUAGAACAAAGAUCUCAAAUUUGUAGCAGAUGAAGAGGAAAGAGAGCAAAGGUGAGCUGAUCUUAUAUUUUUUCUACUUCUAUUCUUCUUUUUUGGUCUUUUUUAUCUUUUUGAGGGCCACACCCGCAGCAUAUGGAGGUUCUAAGGUUAGAGCUGUAGCUGCCAGCCUACCCCACAGCACAGCAACGCAAGAUACUUAACCUGUUGAGUGAGAUCAGAGAUGGAACCCACAACCUCAUGGUUACUAGUUGGGUUGGUUAACCACUGAGCCACAAUGGGAACUCCUACUUCUAUUCUUAUCUUUGAUGAUUUUUAGGAGACUUCAACUGAAUUCCCAUAUUUCCUAAACAUCUAAAAUAGUAAGAAUCAUGGAAAAGCCCCUGCAUAAUUUUAUGAAGACACUGACCUAAUAACACAAUCUGACAAACAUAAUUUAGAAAAAAAGAAAAAAUAAAAAAUAAAAAAAAUGAUCUCACAGGAUUCAAACACAGUGUAAGUGUAACUCAGGGCCUAGAUUCUUAAAUACUUUUUUAAACCAAUUAAUUCAGAAGUCAAUAGCAAUUCCAGAUGAUCAACAGACAUAAGUAAAGAUGGUCAAAUUCCCCAUGGUUGGAUAAAUGCAGAAUAGAAUGCACAAAAUAUUACUUUCUAUUCAUUAUAUAAUAUAUACCUCAUCAUAUAUAUAUGAUGAUGUUUAUUUUUUUCAAGGAUACAGACAGAAAGUACAUUCAUACACAACUGAUGGAUGUAAAUUAUUAUGCUUUUGGGGGAAUGUAUUUAGACAACAUUUAUUAAAAAUAUAUAUAAAAAUCACUUUUAACCCAGUAAUGCCACUGCUUGGAAUACCCCCUGUAGCCACUAAAUAGUAAUGCAUAUAAAAGAUAUGCAUUUAAAGAGACGUAUUGCAGACUCUUCAGAGUGAGAAAAAUAGAAACAUUGAAUGUUCAUCAAAGUUGAAAACUUGGCUAAGUUAUGUAAACCAAGGGACAUGAUACUCCAACAAAAGGGGUAAAUUAAGGCUAUACUAGUUUACUAGGAGGCACGUCACAAUAUUUUUUUGAAUGAAAGGCAAGAGUCAAUGUAGUAGGCAUAACAUGGUCCUGUUUUUAUAAAGUAGUGGCAACAUCACCCUAUAUGUUUAUAGGUGAGUGUGUAUAUAUGUAUUCAUAUGAGGAUGCAUGUAGCUGUCCCCAUUUGAUCAUACGGCCCUGAAGACAACACAGAAGGAUACAGAAGUUAUUUACAUAAGUAAACUGGAGAAAUGAAAGAUGUAGAUGAAGAAGUUUGGUGCAGAGCAUUAUAUGUUGUUUAUCUCAGCAAUCUGCACCUUGUCAAUUGGACAAAAAGAAAGAAAAGCCAGUAUUCUCCUCCGGGAGGGCCUGUUAGGUAUAUGGACAGAUUGCAUUGUAAAUUUUGCUAUCAUUUCUUAGAAAGUUCCUGAAUAUCCUUUAUGUGGUGGGUGAGCAGCCAAAAUGAUUAACAAAUGGGCCCCGUGAUUCCUACAUUUGCUUAUUUCCUAAAAGCCAAUCAUGGUUCUACACAGCUUUCACUCUCCAGGGAUUUUGGAAACAUCUAAAUCCUUGUGAUAAAUCUCCUCCUGGUAAGAUUCGUAGGGCGGUUUCCCUUUACUUGACUGAACCAGUUUUCUAUUGUCACAACAACGGAAUAUUACAAAUUAUCUCAAAAGCUAAUAGCUUAAAACAAUAAACAUUUCUUCUUGGUCAUAAGUCCAUAGGUCAGCUGGUUCUUCAGGUCUAUCUCAGAGGAGGCUGAUCUCAAGUGAGCUAAUUCAUAUACCUGAGGUCAGCAGGUGUGUCAGAUGGGGUAGAUGGUCCAGAAUGCUGGUCUAGGGUGACUCAUUUCCAUGUGGUCUUGCUUUAUCUGCUAGGUUGUCUCAGGCUUUUUAUAUGGCAGCGCCAUGAGACCAAGAAAGUAAAAGGAAGCACAGCCUCUUGAGGCCUCAGUAGAAUGUAUACACCAUCCCUUCUGUCAUAUUCUAUUGGUCAAAGUAAGUCACAAGGUCAACUUGGGAUUCAAAGCAGAGGAAACAAAUUCCAUCUAGUGAAGAGAGAGGCUGCAAAGACAUAUUGCAAAGAGUGUGGAUACAGAGAAAAAUGAAGAACUGUGUUUUUCUUAUUAUCAAUUGAUCACUUUGCCCAAAUUUCCUGAUAGGAAGGUAUGGAGGUAGGAUGCAAGAAAUCAAACAUGUAGAAAAAACUCAACAUCUAUGAUAUAAUCAAAUUUAUUUCUAUUAAAUUAUGCAUGCUUACAUAUGUAUGCAUAAAGGAAAACUUUAAAAUAUUUUAAGAGGAAAGAAAAUGUAAAAUCUCUUGGUCCAGGUAGUUUCUGUAUAGAACAGAAGUGUGAAUGCCAUCAUAAAGCAAAGGUUCUAAGGAACGAGUGAGUUUAAAAUUGCAGACAA